rnacentral:rRNA from 1 species
AUAUAUAUAUAUAUCCAUGGCUUGGAGUUGUGGGGGUUGCUGGCAGCUCAGAGCUGGUUCGGCUCUCCUGAAAUACAUUAGCGAAAAGGGGGGACGAGUCCCUUGGACGUGCACGGCCUUUGACGUGAUAAUGAUCAUAGUGGGCUGGAGCGUCUUGACAGAGUCCCCUAGAUCUGAUCGCUUCUAAUCCCAAUCGAUUUGGUGUAGGUCUAGCUACUAGUGGGUCUUGAGGAACGAACGUCUUGGGGCACUUUACCGAGUUGGCCUAGUUAAUAGUCCAUCGGACGAACGUUAGGAAAGCUUUGGUGGGGUGCUACUUGGCUACUAGUGAAUCUAAUCUGGAUCGACGAACGUUAGGGAACCUUGGCCUUAUGGAAAGUUGACCUCAAAUCAGGUAGGACUACCCGCUGAACUUAAGCAUAUCAAUAAGCGGAGGAAAAGAAACUAACAAGGAUUCCCCUAGUAACUGCGAGUGAAGCGGGAAGAGCUCAAAUUUUGAAUCUGGCGGCGU